CUGCAGCGCCACGAAGUCCCCCGAGUAGCAGCACACGGGAAGCGCCAGCAGCCACCAGCGGGUCGUGCCGCUGCCGUGCUCUCCGCGCCUGCCGCGGGCCAAGUAGCAGAUACCACGGAGGAGUUGCUAGGACGGGCUUUAAAGCACACACAGAGUAUCGAAGUAUUUUCCCUUUAAGGACUAUCCCUCUUUUUUUUUUUUUAACACCUGAAAAUGCCUUCAGUACUGCCACAUCGUUUUAAGGUGGGAAACAGGAAUCACAGCCAGUAUUCAAGUCUGAAUGGUGUCAGAUGCAGUAUGGAUUUAUACAGUGGCAUAGUAAUGCUUCAUGUUUUGUUCUCCUUCCUAAUAAUUCCUAACAUUUAAUUUGGCCAUUACUGGGCAUUGAACAUGUUUUCGUAGCGCUAUCAAUUGUGUAUUCAUUUCUCUGAAGUGAUUUGAUUAUCAGGUUGCCAACAGUGAAACUAAAAGUAAGAAAAUACUAUUUUCUCCUAACACAGAUGUUUUAUAAGUAGAUUAUUUAAA